ACCCCUCCUGUGGCAGAAGGGGAAGAAGAAGAGGAGACGCCGGGCAGCCCAGUCCCACUGUGUGGCUAAGGAGACCGUGUGCACCAUGGCCUGGACUCCUCUCCUUCUCACCCUCCUCACUCACUGCGCAGGAUCCUGGGCCCAGUCAGUGCUGACUCAGCCGCCUUCAGUUUCUGCAGCCACUGGCCAAAGUGUCAGCAUCACUUGCACAGGAAGCAGCACCAACAUUGGAGAUGGUUAUUAUGUGUACUGGUACCAACAGUUCCAGGGAACAGCCCCCACACUCCUCAUCUAUGAAAAUAGCAAACGACCCUCAGGGGUCCCUGACCGAUUCUCUGGCUCAAGAUCUGGAAGCUUAGGCACCCUGACCAUCAGUAGGCUGCAGCCUGGGGAUGAGGCUGACUAUUUCUGCCAGUCAUAUGAUAAAGUCUAAGUGCUAACACUGUGCUCCAGUCUCAUAGGGA